AGUGAACGCUGGCGGUAGGCCUAACACAUGCAAGUCGAACGGCAUCACAGGAGAGCUUGCUCUCUGGGUGGCGAGUGGCGGCCGGGUGAGGAAUACAUCGGAAUCUACUCUGUCGUGAGGGAUAACGUAGGGAAACUUACGCCAAUACCGCAUACGACCUACGGGUGAAAGCAGGGGAUCUUCGGACCUUGCGCGCCUGCAGGAGCCGGGGUCGGGUUAGUUAGUUGGCGGGGUAAAGGCCCACCAAGGCGACGAUCCGUAGCUGGUCUGAGAGGAUGAUCAGCCACACUGGAACUGAGACACGGUCCAGACUCCUACGGGAGGCAGCAGUGGGGAAUAUUGGACAAUGGGCGCAAGCCUGAUCCAGCCAUACCGCGUGGGUGAAGAAGGCCUUCGGGUUGUAAAGCCCUUUUGUUGGGAAAGAAAUCCAGCUGGCUAAUACCCGGUUGGGAUGACGGUACCCAAAGAAUAAGCACCGGCUAACUUCGUGCCAGCCGCCGCGGUAA
rnacentral:rRNA from 1 species